AGUGUUAGGCAGUUACUCCAGCAUUCACUUCUCCUUCCCGCUGCCUUGUGAAGAAAGUGCCUUGCUUCCUCUUUACCUUCUGCCAAAGCCAUGUUGGUUCACCACAUGUAUCGCAUCCUGAUAAUGUGAAGUGAAAAAGUAAAGCCUGGAAGCCUUUGUAAGAUGACUGUACCAGAGGAGGAAGAUAAAUAUCUCGAUGCUACGGAGGCCUGCCAUCUCUUUGAAGUAUCUGGGCAAUAUCAAGAUUUCUACUUCAGAUGAAAAAACAAAUAGUUAUUCAUGGACCCUGUUGCCUGCAAGAAAGAGGACUGGUUUUGCUCUGAGAUCUGCUUCAAUUCUUAGUAAAGGUCAAAAUUGCUACUGGUUGUCUGCUAGUCCACUGUCUUAAACACUGAGGGAAGAGUUUCCCAUGCUUACACAGAUAAGUCAGCUUUGCAAAAU